UAAGAUAGCGCCAGACCUUUUAAAGGUGACGAGGAAGAAGCUAAUCGAAAUAUUCGGCGGGUGGCUUCAGGGCAGCUGUACUCUACAGACUAUUACAAAAACUUUUUUAAAGAACAAAGAAAUGGUCA
rnacentral:ncRNA from 1 species